UGUGCUCAUUCUGCACUUCGAAUGAGGUGAGAAAAGUCGAGUCGAACGUGUCACCCGAUUCCCGUAGUCGAAUGCGGUGACAAGAGUCGGUGUGAGUGAACACCGAUGAACUCUCACCGCAUUCCCACAGUCGAUGUUGAUCGACAGAAGUCGCGUUCAAGUGACGUUUUUGGGUGAGAAGAGUCGUAACCUCAAGAGGUGUCGAGAGCUCAAUCGACACCAGAGAAACACAACAAAUUGUACAUAAUUGAUAAAAUCGUAUCGUCUGACUUCCGGUGAGGUGACCAAAUCCACCACCACUGCACACUCUUCACGCUGUCCCGAUAGAAAAUCGUCAAAGUUGCUGUUGCACCAGAAGCGAAGUUAGAUGGCCGCUUUGUUCGGAAAUCGCUUCUGCUUGCCGUUCGGAACCUGAAAAAUGUGAAAUCGCGAACUAGAAGUUUUUUUUUGAAUGCAUCUGCUUGCUGAAGCUAAGGCGCUGACGAAGUUGGAGGGCUGUACUGGCACAAAUGGCCAGCAUAAAAUUGAAGCAAAGAUCUACGCUUACUGUGUAAUUGUGGGAAAAAUAAUACCACAGACAAACAGACGUAACACCUUGAACGAUUUUCAUGGAAAUCCAUCGCCCAGUUCACACUACCAUCACCUGGUGGAAAAGUUGCACGAAUCACUGUGUUGUGCCAUAUCGUCAACAGAAGGCGCUAGCGUUAAACGUCAAACGCAUAGAAAAACGAUGCGCGCGCCUCUGGUUGUGAAGGCUAUAACUAUGAAAAUUUAAAAUGAUCGUUAAAAGCGUGGUCGAUGUAAAUUUCGCAAGUGUUACGUCUGUUUGUCUGUGAUAAUACUCAAAUUUUGCGUGAUGAUCCAAAAUAAAGUUUUUUUGCUAUAA